CUAUGUUGUUGGAGAGAGAAAUAACAUCAUGGAAGAGACAUAAAUGAGGGGAUCGUGUCAAAGCCAUCCACUGAGAGAUACCAGUAUCUGAGCAGGGACUCAAACCAGCAACCUGCAGGUACAGCUAGUAUUUUCAGGUGUCCACACACGCAGCAAGUCCAGAUUUACGCUUUAUUUCUACACGAAAACCUUUUACAAAUAUCUGCUGAUUAUUGUCAGAACUGUUGAUUUUACACAUUAAAUGCGAGCAUUGUGCAAACUGUUGCGCCAUUUCUGAACAAUAGCUACAAAGUUAACAAAGACUCAGGGGUUUGUACUCUCAUUCCAGCACAUUCAUUCUUAGGAGGUGAAAGGAAAACUUGCACUCAUAAUCCAACAAGAAUACAAACACACAUAGAUUUUAUUUAAUCCCACUCUGGGGGGAAAUUCACUUGUUACACCAGCACGAGGGAAAGGAACAAAAAGUGAAUUAGAGAUAUAUUCAAAAAAUAAAAAGGAAGAAAAAACCCAAUGUGAACAGUGUACAAAAAAACCCCCAAAAUACUAUGUAUAUAGAUGCUUGCUAUAUACAGUAAAAUACACCAAGAUUUUUUCUUUUUAUAUGCACCUAAAGUGCAGUGGGGGAGAUGAUAAUACAUCUGUAGUUUUAAACCAUUUUUCCUGUGUGGGCACAUCAGGAGCAAGUCUGGGUUUGGGAUACUUUGGCAUGCAAGCUGGAGCAGUCAAGGAUCAACCCACCAACCUUCCAGCUAGUCGAUGGCUUGCUCUACCUCCUAAUCCACAGCAAGCCCCAGAAGCUGUGGCUGUUUAUGUGAUGGAUGACUUGUCCAAGGUGCAGAAAAAAAUAUAUUGUAGCUCUCUAUUGAUUGAUCCUGUGCAUUAAUAGUUAAGGAUAAUAAUCUAAGGUCACCGUAUGAACCCCAGCCUUUCAUGUAAAAUGGGUUAAAAUGCAGUGCAGGUUGUACCCAAACGAUGGAGAAAAUUGCAUAUGCUAUACUCUAAUGUGCAAUAAUAAUCAUCCUUGUGUGGUUCCAUGGUUCUUAUUUAGCACAAACACUAUAAAGUAGCCACACAGAAACGCGAUGCUACAAAGACACACGAAAAGGUUUAUUGUGCAUAUUUAGGUACAUGCAGUCUGCUGUUCAUUCAAAAUUCACUUUGAUUUGAUGAAAAGAAUACAAA